rnacentral:rRNA from 1 species
AUAAAAGCUACCCCGGGGAUAACAGGCUGGUGAUGCCCGAGAGUCCAUAUCGACGGCAUCGCUCGGCACCUCGAUGUCGGCUCACCCUAUCCUGGGGCUGAAGAAGGUCCCAAGGGUUUGGCUGUUCGCCAAUUAAAAGGGUACGUGAGCUGGGUUCAAACCGUCGUGAGACAGGUUGGUCUCUAUCUACUGUCAGCGUGGAUACUUGAGGGAAGUCGGCUCUAGUAAAUUAAAUUGCUACUUUCCGAAGUAAUUCGGAUUGAAAAUUCGACUAAUAACGGUGAAAUCUUAAUGACUAUUGUUUUCGGUCCUACAUUUAUGGUACAAUUCACUUGAGGACCAUAAAAUCAUUAAGAUAAUACCGUGGGAAGUCAAUCUAAAAUUAAUUUUGCCUAUAUCGCUGGAUUUCUUGAUGGUGACGGAAGCUUAAUGUUGCAAAUAAAAAAACGCAAAGACGGCAAUAAAUCAAGAAAGCGCUUUAUGGUUACUAUCUGUUUUUAUCAAGAUAGUCGCCACGAAAAACCGCUUCAUUGGAUCCGUGAUAUCCUUAAUAUCGGUUAUAUCUCCAGAAGAAAUGAUGGAAUCACCGAAUUGAGAAUAAACGGCUAUAAACAGAUUCAAAGAAUACUGCAAAAUUUAUUGCCAUUCAUUAAAUUCAAGAAAAUUCAGGCGAAAAUUCUUUUGGAUUCGGCAAAAUUGCUCCAAAAAAGCAAAUUAGCAAAGAAGGAAUUAAAAAGAUUAGUUAAUAAUAUUCUGAAAAUUCAGUCAGAAAAUUAUGUAACUAAAAGGAAGAAAACCGAGAAAGAGUUGCUAAAAAUUUUAGGAUUGACCCCGUAACGACUGGAUUCCGCCAGUGGGCGGAUGAAGAUAAUAUCAUUUUUGAUGUUAUAAUACGUCGACCCCCGACCGCGGUCGGGGUGAAGAUAUAGUCUACACUUCUAGUAAUAGAAGAUUAUGUGACGAGAGGAUCGAGCUGAACGAACCUCUGGCUUACCGGCUUUGGUACCAACUGAAACGCCGGGUAACUAUGUUCGGACGGGAUAAACGUUGAAAGCAUCUAAACGCGAAGCCCCUCCCAAGAUUAAGUAUCGCUAAAUAAUUUAUUAUUUAGGUGGCCCCCAGAAGACUACUGGGUUGAUAGGCUUUAGGUGUAAGCGCCGCGAGGCGUUUAGCCGAGAAGUACUAAUAAGCCA